GUUCAGACAGUACAGAAAUAUAAAUGGUACAGGGUUAGUUAGUAAAGACAAAGAAAAGAUUCUAGAAAGUACUUAGCACAUCAGUUGAUUUCUUGUUGCGGGGGCUUUGGAGCAAAGUCCUAAGGAUGACUAUGAGCAUCUGAUUUCAAGACGGGAAGAGAGAGUCAAGAGGAAGAACACACAGACAAGCGAAUUCCAGAAGACACAGAGAGAACCUGGAGAAUGGGGGAUGACUCAGAGAUGACGAUGUCAUCAGUGAGAAAGCUGAAGACUAGGAAGUGACCGCCUAGCAGGAAGAGAGACCUACACCCAGUGAGGCUUGUGCCCUAGGUCUCGGGAUGUGUGUGAAGUAAGUUGGUCUCCAGGUUCCCGAGAGAAUGUGUGUGUAGAGAUUUACCACAUAGCUGGCUCAGUUUGUUGCAUCCAAGCCCAGAGUAAGAAGAAGCCAUGUUCUAAGGCACAUGUCCCUGCCAGCAUGUGCUUGGGGCAAAAGAAGGACCCUUCAAAUACCAAGAGGCUGUGGCUGAUGAGUUGCAGACAGCAAGAACAUACAGCAAGGGGAAGGACACUGUGCUGUUUGACACCCUCUCCCCACACACAGAGGCAGCCUGCUGUGUCACAAGAAGAUGCUGUCUGGAGAAGCUUCUGUUGUUGGAUGGAGCUGGAGUGGAGAUGACUUAGUGGCGGGAUGGGCAAACAGCAACAUUCCUAUCCUUCCCUUUGCGUAGCAGCUGGGAGGAAUCAGUUCAUUCUCUAAGCACAGGCUGCUGCUGGCCAGCUGGCAAGGAGGCUGCCGAGCAAGAGUGCCAGAUACUUAACAGCUGCAUUACUGCUGAUCCGUCUGCAGAGCACACCAUAUGCCAAGCCCCAGAGUGUGUGCUUGUAUGUGGGUUCCUUUAAAAAGAUGUUUUCAGAGCCACGUACAAAAAGGCAUUUUCUCGUGUUGUGCCCAGGCUUUGAGCCCAUGCUCAGACCCCCUUUGCCCUCUGUCCCCAGGCUGGUGACCAUACACCCAUUAGAGCUGGCUCAAUAUAGCGAUGGGAUGGGUUGUUGGGCUGCCUUCAGGACAUCAUUUUUCUUUCAGGUAACCUAUAAGGAAACCUAAUACUUGUAUCCAGUUUUUAAACUUUUUAAAAAUAAAAAUCAUGUAAUCUUUUAAUUCA
rnacentral:lncRNA from 1 species